CAACGUCAGGGCAGCCGGGGCAAAGGGCAGGGGGUGGACGCAGGCGCCAGGGGCUCUGACCAAGCCCCCUUGCUGCGACUGACACGCUGCGUGUUCCCACAGGUCAAGGCGACUUUGAUUUGGCUGAUGCUCUCGACGACCCCGAGCCCACCAAGAAGCCGAGCUCAGACAUCUACCCAAAGCCGAAGCCGCCCUAUCCCCCCCAGCCGGGGCAUCCUGGCAACAGCGGAGACAUCUACCCAAGGCCGAAGCCGCCCUAUCCCCCCCGGCCUGGACAUCCUGGCAACGGCGGAGAUGUCUACCCAAGGCCAAAGCCCCCUGUUCACCCGCAGCCUGGCUCCUAUGACAACAGCGGAGGUUUCCUGAGUGACAGGGACCUCAAUGACGGCCGAUACCCGCCCAGGCCCAGGCCGCCUGCAGGAGGCGGUGGCGGGGGCGGCGGCUACCACCCCAGUCACGGCGGCUACGGAAACCCAUCCGGAGGAGGGCGGUACAGACCUGGCUCCCAUGGGAGUAAUUACGGUGGGGGCGACUACUCCACGUACGGGAACCCACAAGGCAACACGAUAGCGAAAAUCGUUUCUCCCAUAGUGUCCGUGGUGGUGGUGACGCUGGUGGGGGCGGCGGCCAGCUAUUUCCAGUAUAACCGGAGGAGGAACUGUUUCCGGACAAAUGGCA